rnacentral:rRNA from 1 species
CCUACGGGGUGCUGCAGUGGGGAAUAUUGGACAAUGGGCGAAAGCCUGAUCCAGCCAUGCCGCGUGUGUGAAGAAGGCCUUCGGGUUGUAAAGCACUUUCAGUGGGGAAGAAAGCCUCGGGGCUAAUACCCUCGAGGAAGGACAUCACCCACAGAAGAAGCACCGGCUAACUCCGUGCCAGCAGCCGCGGUAAUACGGAGGGUGCGAGCGUUAAUCGGAAUUACUGGGCGUAAAGCGCGCGUAGGCGGUCUGAUAAGCCGGUUGUGAAAGCCCCGGGCUCAACCUGGGAACGGCAUCCGGAACUGUCAGGCUAGAGUGCAGGAGAGGAAGGUAGAAUUCCCGGUGUAGCGGUGAAAUGCGUAGAGAUCGGGAGGAAUACCAGUGGCGAAGGCGGCCUUCUGGACUGACACUGACGCUGAGGUGCGAAAGCGUGGGUAGCAAACAGGAUUAGAUACCCGAGUAGUC